UGGGGAAUAUUGGACAAUGGGGGGAACCCUGAUCCAGCCAUGCCGCGUGUGUGAAGAAGGCCUUAUGGUUGUAAAGCACUUUAAGCGAGGAGGAGGGUACUGGUAUUAAUACUACCAGGUACUGGACGUUACUCGCAGAAUAAGCACCGGCUAACUCUGUGCCAGCAGCCGCGGUAAUACAGAGGGUGCGAGCGUUAAUCGGAUUUACUGGGCGUAAAGCGUGCGUAGGCGGCUAAUUGAGUCGGAUGUGAAAUCCCCGAGCUUAACUUGGGAAUUGCAUUCGAUACUGGUUAGCUAGAGUGUGGGAGAGGAUGGUAGAAUUCCAGGUGUAGCGGUGAAAUGCGUAGAGAUCUGGAGGAAUACCGAUGGCGAAGGCGACCACCUGGGCUCAUACUGACACUGAGGUGCGAAAGCGUGGGGAGCAAACAGG
rnacentral:rRNA from 1 species